GAUGAACGCUGGCGGCGUGCCUAAUACAUGCAAGUCGAGCGAACGGACGAGAAGCUUGCUUCUCUGAUGUUAGCGGCGGACGGGUGAGUAACACGUGGAUAACCUACCUAUAAGACUGGGAUAACUUCGGGAAACCGGAGCUAAUACCGGAUAAUAUUUUGAACCGCAUGGUUCAAAAGUGAAAGACGGUCUUGCUGUCACUUAUAGAUGGAUCCGCGCUGCAUUAGCUAGUUGGUAAGGUAACGGCUUACCAAGGCAACGAUGCAUAGCCGACCUGAGAGGGGGAUCGGCCACACUGGAACUGAGACACGGUCCAGACUCCUACGGGAGGCAGCAGUGGGGAAUCGUCCGCAAUGGGCGAAAGCCUGACGGAGCAACGCCGCGUGGGUGAUGAAGGUCUUCGGAUCGUAAAACUCUGUUAUUAGGGAAGAACAUAUGUGUAAGUAACUGUGCACAUCUUGACGGUACCUAAUCAGAAAGCCACGGCUAACUACGUG
rnacentral:rRNA from 1 species